rnacentral:lncRNA from 1 species
UUGCUUAUAUGUCUAUGCACCACAUGACUGUAAAGGCUAAAAUAAGGUAAUAGAGCCCAUGGGCCCAGAGCACAAUCUGUAGUGAGCAAAAUAUGGGUAUUGAGAACCAACCAAGAUCCUUAGAAUAGCAGCCUGUACUAUUAACCAUUGGUCUAUCUCUCCAGAACUCAGACUUUAAUUUUCAAGGAUACAGACAGGAACGUAUGAAUAACUGUCUUUCCCUAAAUGUUCCCUGACCAUUUGGCUGGAUCUCAGCAUCCCAUGUGUGUGAUUGUUCUUAAGCCAUUUUUUUUUUUAAAUCCCAGUAUCCGUCUUUGAGUAUUCUGUAAUAUAAAUGAUUAUAUUGUGGAUUCAAGGAUUACUGCCAUUUCCUUUGAAACAACAACUACAAAAAAAAAAAAAAAAAGUUUUCCAUGACAUAUUGACUAUUCCCUAGUGUCAUCUCUUAGAUGUUACAAAGCAGGAAGUUAAUUCUGUCCCAAAGUCAACUAGUUUUUCUUUAAAGAAAUUUAAAUGCAGCACAGAUAUAAAUAGGAAUCCAGAGAGAAGACAAAAAUUAAAUUAUUAAAAGUAAAAUUGAACUCUCAAUGUUAAUUAAGUAAUCUCAAACAGAACAUCAGUUACUAAGAAAACAAUCAACAAGAAGUACAGUAGGGUAUGGACAAAGGAAACCCUGAGACACUGCUGAUCAUGGUGAGAGCAGAAGAAAUGAUAUUCUGAGCUUCCCAACUGGCUAUCCAAAAGCAAGUGGUCAGCUCUGCAGUCACAUAAAUAGAAGUAACAGUGAGCAGACUGAACAGAUAAUAUUUAUAUAUUAAGGAAUAUAUGUCGUUGGUGGGUGUGUUUGUCAGUGUAAGAACAACUAAAGAAAAGGGGAAGAGAGGACAUGAAUUUAAGAGAGAGAAAUAGAGGUGCAAAAGAGAAAGAGAAGGAAAGAACAAGUCAGAGAAGAUAAUUGAGAUGUCUUAAAUGUAGAAAACAAAAGAGAAAUAUUUUAAUAUAAACAUUUUUAAUUAAAAAACAUCUGAACAUAAAUCUGCUAUAUGAGCAUACUUUGGUGUGUUAUACACAGGACCCCAGGUUAACCCAUUACAGAUGUCCUUGUAUAUCAGAGUUCAUUGUAGCACUAUUCAUCUUAGCCAAAUAUGGCACCAGAGCCACUGUUCAACAACAGAGGAAUGGAUAUGGGAAGACUGGUACAUAGUCACAAGGACAUUGUUCCAGGUGUAAAGGAAAAUGGAGCUGCGACUUUUGCCAAUAAUUAGAUGCAACUGGCGUUAGUCAUAUUAAGCAAAUUAAACUAGAUUCAGUAAUAUAAUUACUACAUGUUUUCUUUCGUUUAUUUCUUUAGUCAAAUAAAAUUCUGCAUGUAUGUUUAACAUUCAAGCUAGGUAUGACUUUGUCUAGGGUAGCAAAGGAGAUGCAGGAGGAAAGAGACAUGAGAAAAAGAGGGGUAUUAAAUAACGGGAUAGAAAGAAUCUAUUCAAUUCUUGGUAUGUGGCUGCAUGUAAACCUUUCCUAAAUAUCUUUAAAGACUAUUAAGAAGUCUGUUGAGUCCAUUAUCUUGGAUAUGUCCCCUGAUUUGUGGUCUGUCUACUAAUAUAUACAUUCCUUAAAAAAAAAAAAAAAAAAAAAAAGGACACUCCCUCUACCAAGAGCUGUCAAAUGUCAGUAGCUCCUCAGCUAAAGGUGGCUCUGUGUGUAAUGCUUCUCUCCAUAUUGAGAUAGGAAAUAGAGGACACUUAUGGGAGCAAUUGCAGAAGGAGACAAAUAGGAUCAAAACACAUUACAUGAAAUCCUCAGAGAGCAAAUAACAAUGUAAAAAACAAAAUGAAAGACUUAUUAUCAAGAGUACAUUGGUUCCGUGUUAGAUUGUUUGGAGAACUCUGGCAAUGUGCUAUUACAAACUAAAUUUCUUAGUUCUGGAAAACAGGUAGAGAUGCUUUAGUUCGUGGCACCACAAAGUAGAGAGUAUGGUAUUAAGGAGUGAAUGCUUCUAUUGCCUCCAAUUUGUAACUUUAAAGCUAUAAGGAAAUGUAGCGGUGUGUGCAGAUGAGCCCUUUAAGCAAGUAAAAUUAAAUGAACAUAUAAAUUGGUAGUAUCCUAUAAGGCUAAUCAAAUAAAUACAUUUGCAAAUUUAGUUGUGCACAAGAUUUCUCAUCCUUCCAUUCCAUGUUGACCAUGUAAAUAUGUGGUUAAUUUUGCCACCUGUGAUUUCUUUUUAAUUCAAACUUUCUCCUUGUGUUUAUAAAUUGUUUUGUGUUCAUUGGGCUAAUUUUGAAUUGUCUUCUUUUACAAAUGAAGGGUUUCUCAAUAGAUCAUGGAGUAAAAUAUUUGUCUCCUCUAAGGAAAUAGAGUAAUGAUUUUUAGAAGAUACAACAAUACAGACACACACACACACACACACACACACACACACACACGAAUGUACACUGUCCAGUUCUAAGAACAAACCUAAGAAAGCCAUACAAAAUUCAGGAAUUUUUACAGGCAAAUGGAUGUAACUGGAAAAUAUCAUCCUGAAUGAGGUAACCCAGACCUAAAAGGACAUGUGGAAAUGCGGGGAUUUAAAAAUGGAGCCAAGACUGAAAGAAAAGCCAUCUAGAGACUGCCAUUCACAGACACCAAGCCCUGACACAAUUGCAGACACCAAGAACUGCUUGCAGUCAGGAAGCAGCCCAGUAGGGCUUUCUUCUGAGAUCUUCUGCCAGCACCUAAUACAGAUGCAGACCCUGGAGACCCCAAUUGAAGAGAUUGGGAAAGAUGGCAACUCCGUAGGAAAAACAACAAUAUCAACUAACUGGACACCUCAGGGAUUAAAUCACCAACCAAAGAGUUUGCAUGGGUGGGUCCAUGGCUUCCACUAUUUGUGUAACAGAGGAUUGUCUUAUCUGGCUUCAAUGGGAGGGGAGAAGCUUGGUCCUAUGGAGGUUUGUUGCCCCAACAAAAGGGAAUGCUAGACAGGUGAGGCAGGAGUGGAUGGGUAGGUGAGGGAGUAUCCUCUUAUAGGCAAAGGGGAUGGGGGAUGAGAUGGGUUUGCAUUGGGGAGACCAGGAAGGGGGGGCAGCAUUUGAAAUGUAAAUAAAUAAAAUAAUCAAUAAAAGAAAAAAAAAACUGUGUGGAAACAUACACAAAGCUGGCUGUUUAUGAACCAGAAACAGGGUAACUAUCCUCUUAAGUUCCUUCGCUGGCUUUGUUGGUCAUGCACAUCUAGCCUGCCUGAGUAUAAGAAAGCAACGUUCUGUUGUUUCAGCCAUCCAACUGGUGGUAUUUUUAUGGAAGUCCUAGAUAGCUAAUACAGGAAUUUCCACCACAGAAAGGAGACCUGAUUUGGUUUAGAGGUGUAGUUACCUGAAGUAAUGGCCAGGUUUAGUAUUUCUCGGCAUUGCUGUUCCUACAUAGAUUUGCAUUGUUUUAUAAUUAUUGCAAGAAGUCCCUCUUUCUCUUCUUGAAUGGUGAAUAAACAGAACGAAAUUAACAUUUAUUGGACACUUAACAUGUGCCAGGCACCAUUUCGCAUGUGUCUUCUCAUUUAUUCCUAAGAAACAUCUUGCAACAUAAGUAUUAUUAUUCCAAUAAUUUUAGUUAAAGAGAUAAAAUAACUAGCCCCCACAGUCACUUAGCUAGUUAAUUGGCAGAUUUGGAUUCCGAACUGAUCAUGCUUCCCAUUUGUGAUUCUACAAAGUUUCGGGCUUUUCAUUAUUUAACGUUGAAGUGUCCUUUCAAAAUAACAGAAAACUUUCCACUAGUUCAAAUGGAGGAAAUUGAUUGUACUGGGUAUAGGCAGAUAAAAAUUUAAACAUGAUGACAAACUGACUGGGGUGAUUAGGAUAAUAGGUGGAAUUCCCCGGAGCCCAGAUUUGAAUUCCUAAUAGAAUCUGUGUGAUUCUUCUCACGUGCUCAGUGGUAUGACAUCAAGGAGAAGUUGCCUCUCAGAGCUGAAGUUAUUGGCCUCAGCUACUACUCCAAGGAGAGAUUUUCAGAAUUGCUUCAAUACAUCUGCAUUCUAGGCUUCAAUAAGUAAAAGCUUGUCACUAACAAAACCUCCGGGAAGACUGAAAGAAAGGAGCUUAGAAAAUACAUGGCAGCUAGAUAGAGAAAGGACCCAAGGAACUGAAGGGGUUUGCAACCCCAUAAGAAGAACAACAAUAUGAACUAACCAGUACGUCCAGAGCUCCCUGGGACUAAACCACCAAAGAAAACACAUGGUGGGACUCAUGGCUCUAGCUACAUAUGUAGCAGAGGUAGCCUAGUCAGUUAUCAAUGGGAGGAGAGACCCUUGAUCCUGUGAAGGUUCUAUGUUCCAGUGUAGGAAAAUGCCAGGGCCAGGAAGCAGGAGUGGGUGAGUUGGUUAACAUGGGGAGGGGGAAGGAGAUAGCAGGUUUUCAGAGGGGAAACCAGGAAAGAGGAUAACAUUUGAAAUGUUAAUAAAAAAAAUCAAAUUAAAAAAAACCAAAGAAAAUAAAACACAUGACAGAACAUGUCAGAAAGGGUACAAGUGCUGGCUCCUAGAGGAAAGAAGCAAAUGGCCUGGCCAGGCUGUACUAUGUGGCUAUUCAUCAAUGGCAGCUCAGACCUACAGUGGUUUAGAAAGUUAUGCCUUCAUGCCUUCACACCUGAGAAGGCUUCCCAAGUCACUUAGUUAAGACUGUGAGCCAAAGACAGAAUUGCAUUACUAAACAUUAAAGAACAAAUGAAUUGUUCUGAAAAACAGUGUAACUUCUCAUGUCUUGACAGUGUUCUCAUAAUUUUUAAGUUCGAUUCAGCUGGAUGUCUUUACAUGAGGUGACUACGGUUUAAAAAGAGAAGGUAAAUCCCCAUUACUAAGCAGUAUGUUAUUGGUACAGAACCACAGACUAUUGUCAAAACCAAGCUACUGAGUUGCAUUAAACCAGUAUUUACCAUGAAUGAUGGUAUAUCUUUUGAGAUGCUUGUCCUAUGAAAAACUCAUUGUCUUCUUUGCCAUCAGUGGAAACACAGAAUUAUCAUUAUGCUAUUUUAAAUUGUUUUGUGACUUCCUUAGGUAUAUCUUCUCUAAAUGAAGUGAAUGUAAAAUGUAUUACCAUAAAUAGCUCUAAGUUCAUAUUUCUAUUUUUUUACAAUUUUUAUUAGAUAUUUUCUUCAUUUACAUUUCAAAUGCUAUCCUGAAAGUCCUUUAUACCCUCCUCCAGCCCUGCUCCCCAACCCACCUACUCCUGCUUCUUAAUGGAUAUGAUUUGAUCAUUUUUUAAAGGACCAUAGUUGUAGCCUAAUCUCAUUCUCACGCA